CACCCUUUGAUCCAAAAACUUCAGCCGCUUGGAGUUCUUGGCAAGCAGGAUGCGCAUUUUCUCUUCAGAUUGGAAGGAAUAUUAUAGUAUAGAAGCUUCCGUGGGUGUUCACAUUUCCCUGUUGGUUGUAUCCAUUUUCAGCUGAAGGCUAGGACUCAGGCGAAUGGCCGUGUGCUGCUACUGCAGCGGUCUACUCUGCUGCUAUCCCGGAGUACACUACUGCUGAGGUCCUGGAGCUGGCUGGGAACGCCAGCAAGGAUCUGAAGGUGAAGCGUAUCACCCCUCGCCAGCUGGCCAUCCGUGGAGAUGAAGAGAUGGAUACCCUCAUCAAUGGUAUCAUUGCUGGUGGAGGUGUGAUCCCGCACAUCCACAGGUCCCUGAUCAAAGUAAUCCAUCCAGUUGUCUUGAAGUAACACAAUCUAGCAGAGGGGGUAUCUUUAGCUUAAACUGGACAUUUUCACACUCUUGUAGUAUUGUGUGAGAGAAGCUAUCUUCAUAUCGAUUAGCCUAUAGCUAUGCUUCCGGAUCGAAGUAAUCCGUCCUUGUAAUGCUUACCUGGCACUGCUUCAAUUAUUUGGAACAUUGUAUUCGUGUAUUCCUGUUCGUUUGUCACUUCGUGAUAGACCCUGAAUGCAAAACCUUUUUUA